AUAUCGGCUUUAUUUAAAGUCAUUUAAACAAUUAUUAAAAUGAUAU
rfam:Ricinus communis cultivar Hale ctg_1100012297241, whole genome shotgun sequence.